UACGUAGGGGGGCAAGCGUUGUCCGGAAUUAUUGGGCGUAAAGGGCGUCGUAGGCGGUUUGUCGCGUCGGGAGUGAAAACUCAGGGCUUAACCCUGAGCCUGCUUCCGAUACGGGCAGACUAGAGGUAUGCAGGGGAGAAUGGAAUUCCUGGUGUAGCGGUGAAAUGCGCAGAUAUCAGGAGGAACACCGGUGGCGAAGGCGGUUCUCUGGGCAUUACCUGACGCUGAGGAGCGAAAGUGUGGGGAGCGAACAGG
rnacentral:rRNA from 1 species